rnacentral:rRNA from 1 species
GCUUGUCUCAAAGAUUAAGCCAUGCAUGUGUAAGUAUAAGCCCUUGAACGGCGAAACUGCGAAUGGCUCAUUAAAACAGUUAUCGUUUCUUUGAUGACCAAUUGCUACUUGGAUAACUGUAGUAAUUCUAGAGCUAAUACAUGCGGAUGCCUUUCGGGGCUAGCGUUUAUUAGAUACAAAGCCAACAUUUCCUUUUGGAAAUUCUGGUGAUUCAUAAUAACCAAGCGAAUCGGUCUUUUGACCGAUGCAUCUUUCAAGUUUCUGACCUAUCAGCUAUUGACGGUAGGGUAUUGGCCUACCGUGGCGAUGACGGGUGACGGGGGAUCAGGGUUCGAUUCCGGAGAGGGAGCCUGAGAAACGGCUACCACAUCUAAGGAAGGCAGCAGG